GUGAUCUUGAGCAAGUCACUACAUCUCUCAGUUUCUUCAUCUGAAAAUGCAAGUGAUAAUAACAGUACCUACCCCAUAGGUUGCUAUGAGUUUAAAAGAGUUAAGAUGGGGAGUUGAAAUAUACAUUUAGACUUGCGCUCAAGGUAAACACCACAGAAAUUCUGUUUUCGAUAUUAUUAUUAAGUGGCAAUGCCUUCUUUUCUACAAGUGCAGUGCGGGAAUGAUGACCCUUUUCUUAGAUUCUGCUCUCCUGAGCCCCUGAAAGUCCUUUGAAUGAGCAUUGCUCCACAAAGUUCUAGUUCACCAACUCUGCAGAGACUUCCUAAGCCACCACUUGUUUGCAGUUACAAAGCAAACAACUUUACAACCAAACCACCCACUCUUUCCUGAUCUCUCUCCUUUCUCAUUUGCCUUGAGUUAAUAUGAAAGUUUGUAUUCAAUGAAACUAACAAAGCAAACCUCCUGGGAGGCUGUGAAACACUAGCUAAUUCAUCUUUUACAAAAAAAAUUGCUCAGAAUGUAAUCAAAACCACACUAAAGAAAAUACUCCACAUCUUAUUGGUUGUGUGUCACGCUUUUUCCUGCCUUGCAAAGCUCCCUCUUUCUGGCCACUCUCAAAAAAGUGUCAUCCUCAGACAGAAUGGAGAGCAAGGCCAAAGAGCAAGGAAACAGGAAAAGGGGAGGGCAAUACAUCAAAUCAGGACUGCUUGGCAACACUACACAGUGACAAGAUGAUGUCCUACGUCAAGAUAUCUUACGUCAAACCUGACAUUGAACCUUGUCCCACAGCCCACAGCACAGAACUGAGAUUAGAAUCAGUGUUGGGCUGAAACACACCUUGGAAAUCAUCCUGUUAAUGCCUCCUUACUUCGGUUGACAGAGAAACCAGAGCCCACAGAAGAGGCCUCGUGAUUGAGUAGCAGAGAAGGAAUGAUUAGUGUUUUGUACAUUUCACUUCAGCUUAUUGAACGUUCAUGCUGUGGCUGCCACUGGCACCAGACACCUGUAAAGUUAGAAAUGAGAGAUGCAAGCAGUCAUUGAAGAUUUGGCUUUCUAGCUUGGUUCUACCUCUUAAUUGCUUUGAGAUCAUAAGCAAACCAAUCCCUCAAACCCUGGUUUUACAUCAGCAAAAUGGGAGCUGUUUCCCAAAAAUUCAUUGAGGGUAAGUACU
rnacentral:lncRNA from 1 species